UCACGUUUUUACUCCUAUUUUAUUGCAUCUACACCACUUUCAAAAUCUUCUGUAUCAAUUCAUAUCUAUAUGACCGGAUAUGAGGCAUUCUAAUUUCUUCUUCUAUGGAAAACAAAUUGCCCCUUCUUUUUCUUUCUCUCGACGAAUCUCUUCUUCUUUCUCUUUUAUUCCUCUUCUCGGAACAUUACUCACCGGAAUCUUCUUUCUCGCUUUUAAAAUUUAUUUUAGUGACAAAUUUCUUUAAAAGUAAGUGACCUUCUAGAGUAAGAAACAUCUUCAAAUUCGUAUAUGAUGGAAGUUAUAAGAGAAUUGGGAAGAUCAAUUAAAUUUUGUUGCUCUUGAUAAGGUGGUGUGGUUGAAAAAAGUGCAAGUUUCAUGGUCAUAAUGAACAUGUAGAUGUUUAUAUUAACAAUUUUCAUGGCCAUGCACACGCCCAAUGGUUUCAUCUUUUCUUUUUAAAAAAACUUUAUACAAGAAUGACAUGUUAAUCUUGAGAAGACAAGAAAAUAUGAUUUUCCUUUGAAUUGUAAGUUUGUAGUCGUUUAUAUAAGCGAUGUGUACUUGGUUUUAUUUGUAAUUCUGUUGUAUUUUAUGUUUAGGAGUGUCCGUGACAUCUUUUGUACUUGGUUGUGAUUAAUAUUAUAGUGACAUCUAUUAAAUCUCUAUAAAUUUAAAACACACAUAAAUUUGUUUUAGAGCUCAUAUUUGUGGAAUUGUCUUUCCACAAAAUACUCCUACAGAUAGUUACACACACUAAAAUUAAGAAAUUUAUAUAAAUUUAGAACACACUUUUUAAAAUCCAAAUCAGUUGUAACUACUGACUUCAAUAUUAAAGGAGAGCAAGUUUUCUGUUCAGACUACUGACUUCUAUAUUAAAGGAGGGCAAGUUUUCUAUUCCGAUGGAGAAGUGAUUGCAUUAAAAAAAUAUAUUUCUUUUUUAGGCUCAAUGAGAGUCCCUUCUUUCAAAAAAAUUGAGACCACUCUACUACGAUUCUCAAAAUAUCUGACAGAAGGCAUAACUUCAAUGCAAGAAGGUAAGUUGGUGUAUUUGCAUCACUAAUAGCUAUUUUGCAGAAUGUUUGAUGUUCUUGAUGACUUUUUUCAAAUAUAAUUUGGUACUAUUUCAAAAAGAACACUGGAAUGAAGUAAUAUUAGUAAAAUAUACUUUAAAUUAUAUUGCUACUAUUUUAAAAAGAACACUGGAAUAAAGUAAUAUUAGUAAAAUACACUUUACAUUAUAUCACUAUUAUAUUCUUACAAAUAAAUAUUCUUGAGAAUAGUAAAUGAAAAACUUCCAUUUUCUCAAAUAAAUUCACAAGAUAUUUGAUAAAUUCUCUUAUGUAAAGAAAUAUACAGAUUGGUCAUUGGUUAUUAGGAAAAAAUAAGAUUGUUACUUUUUUUUCAAACAUUGCAGGCACGUGGGUUGACUAUAUUUCUC
rnacentral:lncRNA from 1 species